rnacentral:rRNA from 1 species
GGAAUUGCUAGUAAUCACAGGUCAGCAUACUGUGGUGAAUACGUUCCCGGGCCUUGUACACACCGCCCGUCACACCAUGAGAGUUGAGAAUACCCGAAGCCCAUGUCAAAGUGGUCGAAGGUAGGCUUGAUGAUUGGGGUGAAGUCGUAACAAGGUAAC